rnacentral:misc_RNA from 1 species
UUAAGUUCAGCGGGUAUUCCUACCUGAUCCGAGGUCAACCUUGAAAAAUUGGGGGGUUUUACGGCGUGGCCGUGCCGCUCUCCGGUGCGAUGUGCAUUACUACGCAGGGGAGGCUGCGGCGCGACCGCCACUGAAUUUAGGGGGCAGGGGCCGUACGGACCCUGAUCCCCAACACCGGGCCUCCGCUAGGCGGGGGCCCG